UACGAAGGGGGCUAGCGUUGUUCGGAAUUACUGGGCGUAAAGGGCGCGUAGGCGGUGUGUCAAGUCAGGCGUGAAAGCCCCGGGCUCAACCUGGGAACCGCGCUUGAGACUGGCACGCUCGAGUUCGGGAGAGGAUGGUGGAAUUCCCAGUGUAGAGGUGAAAUUCGUAGAUAUUGGGAAGAACACCGAUGGCGAAAGGCAGCCAUCUGGACCGACACUGACGCUGAGGCGCGGAAAAGCGUGGGGAGCGAACAGG
rnacentral:rRNA from 1 species